rnacentral:lncRNA from 1 species
CGCUUUAGUCGUCCAUCGGUAAUGUUACCGUUACAGAGACCUGCCGAUGAACUGACCAGGACGCCCUAUUCAGUAAAGCAUCUUAUCCUCCCAGACAAAUAUCCCCACUUUAUCCGCCCAUUGGCAAUAUUACCGUUACAAGGCGCUGCCGAUGGACCGACCAGGAAAUCUCGCACAGUAAAAUAUCUCCAGAUCACGACCGCUUCCUGUCAAAUCACC